rnacentral:tRNA from 1 species
GCCUUUGGGGUGUAGUGGUCAGCACGCUGGGUGCGUAUUCAAGAGGUCCGUGGUUCAAAUCCCAGCGAGGGCA